rnacentral:rRNA from 1 species
GACGAACGCUGGCGGCGUGCUUAACACAUGCAAGUCGAACGGAAAGGCCCGGCGCUUGUGGGGUGCUCGAUUGGCGAACGGGGGAGUAACACGUGAGUAACCUGCCCUUGACUUUGGGAUAACUUCACGAAACAGGGGAUCAUACCGGAUAGGAGCUCCUGCUGCAUGGGGGGGGUUGGAAAGUGUCGGCGGUGGGGGCUGGACUCGCGGCUUACCCGCUGGUUGGUGGGGUAGUGGCUUACAAAGGCUUCGACGGGUAGGCGGCAUGGGAGGGUGACCAGCCACAUGGGGCCUGCGGUACGGCCCAGUCUCGUACGUGAGGCAGCGGUGGGGAAUAUGGCACAACAGGCCGAAGCCUGAUGCAGCAGCCCCGCGUGCGUGAUGCCCGCCUUCGGGUUAUAAACAAAUUUCGCCUGUGCCGUACCCUGAGUGACGGUAAUGGGUAAAGAAGCACCGGCUAACUACGUG